AAGAGACAGCAGACACUGCUCCUAAUAAUGGACCAGGAGACCAGCACUCAGUUCAUGUUCAGUGGUGGAAGAGACCCUCUGGAGUUGCUGCAGUGUGUCUGGGGCUGCUGUGUGUUCUCCUACUGGCUGGGAUCAUAGGCCUGUCUGUCUACUGUGGAGUCAUUGG